rnacentral:rRNA from 1 species
UAAUUUACUAUAUUGUUCGCCAGAGAACUACAAGCGCUAGCUUAAAACCCAAAGGACUUGGCGGUGUCCCAAACCCACCUAGAGGAGCCUGUUCUAUAACCGAUAAUCCCCGUUAAACCUCACCACUUCUAGCCAUCCCCGUUUAUAUACCGCCGUCGUCAGCUCACCCUAUGAAGGCCAAAAAGUAAGCAAAAAGAAUCAACUCCCAUACGUCAGGUCGAGGUGUAGCAAAUGAAGUGGAUAGAAAUGGGCUACAUUUUCUAUAAAGAAAACACGAAUGGUAAACUGAAAAAUUACCUAAAGGUGGAUUUAGCAGUAAGAAAAGAUUAGAGAGCUUCUCUGAAACUGGCUCUGGGACGCGCACACACCGCCCGUCACUCUCCUCAAAAAAAAUCCAUUCAUUUUUAAUUAAAAAAAAUCAUCAAGAGGAGGCAAGUCGUAACAUGGUAAGUGUACUGGAAAGUGCACUUGGAAUC